GCAGCUGCGACAGCAGUUCUUCCUAACAAUAUUGGCUUCGGCUGGUAUUAAAAAGGGCCCCUAAGUGCCACGAACAUCUUUACUAGGAGAAGAGACCACGCCGUGGAGGAGGGGAGGUGCAGAAACUAAAGCGGCCAGUGAUGGUGAAACGAGAGUGAAGCAGCAGCCCUGGAAGCAAAAGCACUAGAAGGGAAGAUGGCCCUUCCUGUCCUUUUGCCACAGGGCCACCUUCCUGCAGAGCACCAGCCUCUGAAGCAAGCUGCCCUCAUCACCAUUCAAAGUUGUUGGACCUGAAGACUAAGGGCCUGGCCUCCACAAACUUGGUUGGCCAGGUAUACUCAGGCUGAGAGCCUCUUUCCCAUUUCUGCCCCAGCCAGGGUUGAGUCUGGGAAACGUUUUGACCAAGAAUCCAGAAUCUAGCAGCAGACCCCUGCCCUGCUAGUUGCCUUCCAAAGCAAGAACUGGAAGUUGUCAAACAGGCAUUGGUGCCCCAGGAAGUUCACCAGGGAGAAGUCAGAUCUGGGUUCCAGGCCACCUCCCAGCUGGCAUAUUUAACCUCUCUAACUGCUACUUCCUCAACCAUAAACCUAGGGCAAUAAUGCCUGCUCUACCUACCUACCUCACCAGGCUGCCGUGAGGAUCAAAUGAGAUUAUAGGCCUGCAAGCCCUUUGAAAAAUAAAAAGCAAUCACCCAACCUGGUUAUGCUAUUAUUAUUAUUGCUCUUUUGA